AAAUGACGUGAAAGCAAAUGGCAUAAGAGUGGAAAUCCCCACUACUCCCAGAUAAAGAGCAGCCAGACUCAUUUCCUAUAAACUAUCAGCGAGUAAUUCAUGCUUCGCUGAACUGAACCAAGAAGCCUACAUCGAUUUGCACACGAUUGGCCAACAGUUUCGAUAAAUCACACCAAAUGCAGUUGGCGCUGCCCCUGCCCAGCAGCCUGGCACUGGACUUGAUCGGUAAUGACAGCCUGCAGGACUGGGAAGUGAUUGGUGGAGGGGGAUUUGGACAGAUCCACAAGGCCAGGCAUAUAAAGUGGAGGUUUGAUGUGGCCAUCAAGUUGUUGCAUCAUGAUGAUGGGAAUGAUGAUGCAGGAACAUCACAGACAGCCUUUGAGUUUGAAUUCAAUUCACACACAAAUUUAAGGUAGGUUUGAUUUGAUUGAUUGUAUUAUUAAGGGUCUUCAUAAUGCCCAGCCCACAUGGCUUUAUAUGACACUGUAUUCAUCAUUCCUAAUUGCAUUUACAGUGUUAUUAAUCUUGAAAAUCCAGAAUUAAAAUAUUGGCUGCUUUUAUUUAUUUAUGACUUAUUUUAUCAGGUAAAUUGACUGAGAACACAUCGACCGAAAACUUUGUUUUCUUUCCUCUGUUUAGCUAAAUGGACAUUCCCGAUCGGAAUAUUAUCGCUUUUUUACGAGAAAAAUGGCAUAAAAAUGGAUUUUAAACAGCGGUUGACAUGCUUCGAAGUACG
rnacentral:lncRNA from 1 species